rnacentral:piRNA from 1 species
UGUUGAUCUCAAACUCAUACCCCCCACCUGC